GUGAAAUGUCAUUUUCUUGUCAGCCGACCGAAAACCUACUCUCUUACCUCAUGCUCUAAAAUUAUAUUAAUCGACCAUUGCCAAUUUGUAAUUUUCUUUUCUCCCUCAUCUGGUAUGAGUUGGGAUUAGGUGGCCUUUGGUGAUAAGGUCUUGCUUCCUUCCAUUGUGUCCUUUUCCUACCUAAUUUCUAGCCUCGAGGUAAACCUCUUUUAUUCAACUAAUAUUAAUGAAAUCACUAUCUUUAAGCAC
rnacentral:misc_RNA from 1 species